rnacentral:rRNA from 1 species
GAUGAACGCUGGCGGCGUGCCUAACACAUGCAAGUCGAGCGAAGCGGGGACGGGUGAGUAACACGUGGAUAACCUCCUAUAUGACUGGGGUAACUUAGGGAAACCGGAGCUCAACCGGAUACUUAUAGAUGCAUCCGCGCUGCAUUGGCUGGUUGGUAAGUUAACGGCUAACCAAGGCAACGAUGCAUAGCCGACCUGGGAGUGGAAGCGGCCACAUGGGAACGGGGACAGGGUCCAGCCUCCUACGGGAGGCAGCAGUAGGAAAUCUUCCGCAUUGGGCGAAGGCCGGACGGAGCAACGCCGCGUGGGUGAGGAAGGUCUGCGGAUCGUAAAACUCUGUUAUUAGGGAAGCGGUACCUAAACAGAAAGCCACGGCUAACUACGUGCCAGCAGCCGCGGUAAUUC